rnacentral:misc_RNA from 1 species
GAUGAAGAACGUAGCGAAAUGUGAUAAGUAGUGUGAAUUGCAGAAUUCAGUGAAUCAUCGAAUCUUUGAACGCACAUUGCGCCCCUUGGUAUUCCGGGGGGCAUGCCUGUCCGAGCGUCAUUGCUGCCCUCAAGCACGGCUUGUGUGUUGGGCCUCCGUCCUCCUCCCGGGGGACGGGCCCGAAAGGCAGCGGCGGCACCGCGUCCGGUCCUCGAGCGUAUGGGGCUUCGUCACCCGCUCUUGUAGGCCCGGCCGGCGCUUGCCGACACAUCAAUCUUUUUUCCAGGUUGACCUCGGAUCAGGUAGGGAUACCCGCUGAACUUAAGCAUAUCAAUAAGCGGAGGA